rnacentral:rRNA from 1 species
AUAUCAAUAAGCGGAGGAAAAGAAACCAACAGGGAUUACCUCAGUAACGGCGAGUGAAGCGGUAACAGCUCAAAUUUGAAAUCUGGCGCUUUCAGCGUCCGAGUUGUAAUUUGUAGAAGAUGCUUUGGGUGUGGCUCCGGUCUAAGUUCCUUGGAACAGGACGUCAUAGAGGGUGAGAAUCCCGUAUGUGACUGGCUGCCUUCGCCUAUGUAAAGCUCUUUCGACGAGUCGAGUUGUUUGGGAAUGCAGCUCUAAAUGGGAGGUAUAUUUCUUCUAAAGCUAAAUAUUGGCCAGAGACCGAUAGCGCACAAGUAGAGUGAUCGAAAGAUGAAAAGCACUUUGGAAAGAGAGUUAAACAGUACGUGAAAUUGUUGAAAGGGAAGCGCUUGCAACCAGACUUGCCUGCCGUUGAUCAUCCUCCCUUCUGGGUGGUGCACUCAGCGGUGGUCAGGCCAGCAUCGGUUUUGGUGGUGGGAUAAAGGCCUUGGGAACGUAGCUCCUCUCGGGGAGUGUUAUAGCCCUCGGUGCAAUGCCGCCUACCGGGACCGAGGACCGCGCUUCGGCUAGGAUGCUGGCGUAAUGGUUGUAAGCGACCCGUCUUGAAACACGGACCAAGGAGUCUAACAUCUAUGCGAGUGUUUGGGUGUUAAACCCAUACGCGUAAUUAACGUGAACGGAGGUGAGAACCCUUUAGGGUGCAUCAUCGACCGAUCCUGAUGUCUUCGGAUGGAUUUGAGUAAGAGCAUAGCUGUUGGGACCCGAAAGAUGGUGAACUAUGCCUAAAUAGGGUGAAGCCAGAGGAAACUCUGGUGGAGGCUCGCAGCGGUUCUGACGUGCAAAUCGAUCGUCAAAUUUGGGUAUAGGGGCGAAAGACUAAUCGAACCAUCUAGUAGCUGGUUCCUGC